rnacentral:rRNA from 1 species
UACGUAGGGGGCAAGCGUUGUCCGGAAUUAUUGGGCGUAAAGAGCGUGUAGGCGGCCAGAUAAGUCCGCUGUGAAAUCUCGAGGCUCAACUUCGAGCUGUCGGUGGAAACUAUCUGGCUAGAGUCCGGAAGAGGAGAAUGGAAUUCCUGGUGUAGCGGUGAAAUGCGCAGAUAUCAGGAAGAACACCCGUGGCGAAGGCGGUUCUCUGGGACGGUACUGACGCUGAGACGCGAAAGUGUGGGGAUCAAACAGG